UUACAGGUUUAAAUUAUAUUUUUAUAUGGCAAAUUUUCAUUGUGGUCUCAGACUUGAAGAGAAAAGAAUAUUGUGACAAUCUUCAAACCUUUAAUUUGAAUCUUUCUCAUUGAAUAGCAUGACUAAGACAUGUUUCUCUGAGUCACAUAGGAGACUUAUAGUCCCAGUUUUCGCCUCAUUUAAGCAUCCUGUAAAAUCAGCGGUGGUUGAAGAGCCGGUGGGUCGUCAGAGGGGCGGCAGCUCUAGCUGACCGGCCGCUGUUUGUGUAUUGUAAGGAGGGCUGUAGGGAAGCACAGAGCUGCGCUGUGUUUCUCAGUCGGCGGGGGUAAAAUACAGGGCUUGUGCGAGCUUCCACGCGGCGCGGUCCACGGCACACGGAGAUGACUCACUAUUCUUACGUGACUAACAACUAAAAUAUGGCAGUUUAAAAGAAGUUUCAGUGGUGCCCUAGUUCCAUAUGGCUGUGGAGAGAGAGAUGGGCAGGUAGAGUUGUCAUUUCUUCCACCCCUCUGCAUAUCUCUUUCUUUACGUCUGUCUUUUAUUUCACUGGAAAGGUGACGCUCUGAAAUAUUAAACAGCCAAGUGUCCCUCUGUGGUGUUGGGUUUCCCAGAGUUGAUGAGAAUUCAGGUACUUUCUCCAAGAUGGUGAGUUAGGGGUUUAUGACGAAGAUGAGACAUGGUGAGUUGUGGCAGCGCUCCUGAGAUGCUGGAACUGGAUCAAAAACACCAAUCUUUUCAUUUUUAGCACAUUUCCAUAAAUUAUCCUGAAAAAGUUAACAGGGAGACAUUUGAAUUUGAAAGCAAGGACCUAAUAUUAGUAUAUAAAAUAAAUAUAUAUAUAUGUAAGUUGUUUGGAGUGAUAAAAUUGUUUUAAUACUAACUUCUAAUAUUAAAAACUGAUUUAUCCAGCUGUAUUGAUUUUAAUUUGACUCUUAUACUUAAUAUCAGUUUGUUGAGGCUAUCGAGAGAUGAGGUUUGUUUUAUGUCGUCAUAAACGGCAUGUGCGUGUUUGACAAUGGUGGACCCGUUCAGAAAAGUGUUUAGACUGCUUGGUAGAACGGGAGCGAAUUCUUCACUGAAAGACACUAACUAACGUUCCUCGGUCACAUAAGUAGGGGAGUUUCCUGCUCCUAAAGAUCCGAGGCACAGCCUAGGCGUUUUUCACCGUGACUGCCGGCUUUUCUCUCUCUCCCUUCCUCCCUUUCGCUCUCCCCCUUCUUUUUUUCUGAAUGGGUGUCCUCUCUCUAACCUCUCAAUUCACAGCAGCAUUGAAACAGGACACUACCCUGAACACUGAUAGGCUGCGGGCAAAUCGCUCAGCCCCUCGACCUGACACUAUAAGUACUCUGGCAAUCCGUCUCCAGUGUAUGACUGACUGUUUAGAGGGAGAGAGAGAGAGAGAAAGACGGGCAGAUAGAGAGAGAGUGGGAGGGGGCGGUAGAGAGUUUAAAUUCAGUGACAGUGAUAAUGAUAUUAUUCGGUCUCCGCUGAAACGGGGAAGCACUUUCAGAGUCUACGGCACACUUCCUCUGUCUCUAUCGCUUUAAGAGUGUUACUGAUUAGUCGCUAAAGAAUGCGAGUGGAAAGAGAGAGAGAGAGAAAAAAAGGGACAGAGGCAGGAGGGAGAGACAGACCGAGAGUGUUGGAGCCUGGGAACUCGUAUGGAGAAGACUGAUAAUAUUGAGCUGAGUAGAGAUUUGUUUUAUUUUCCAGCAGUUCAGAGACGUUAAAGGAGCUCUCACUCUCUCUCUCUGAAUUUGCUGCUCCUGAAGAGGCUGGACGAAGGGGGAAGUCGGGGACCCCGCACAUGCAGGCAGCGCUCAGCCAUCAGGAAAUACUCUUUUCACCCAGACAGAGGUUAUUCAGACUGGCUCUUAGUCUAUUCAGAUCACACGAUGCUCCACGUCUUCAUUUCAAUUUAGGCGCUGAGGACGGCUCGAGUGGACGACCGCUGCCGGUGGCUUUUUAGGGUGCUCAUGAGGUGCUCAGUAGUCAGUGUAGAUCCUGUGUUGCAAUCAGCAGCUACAUCUGGCUACUGGGUCUCUGAUGGCAUUUUCUGCUUCCUGUUGGCACAUUCCUUUUAGAUUGUGUGGUAUGUUAUCACAAUGUGUGCUUCAUCCUGUCAGAAUAGGACUCGCUCUUUCAUGGACGUUAAAGAGGGCCCUUGUCAUAACAGUCUGUCUCUUUGACCAGACCGAAUCGGCGCUGUUUUUGCACUUUUAGCCUUGUUCAUUGUGGGUUUUUUCCCCUAAAACAAUUUGAUCAAGGUGAGUGAACUCUCACAGCAUAGCUAAAAGCCUCGAGAAACCAUUUCAGAUGUCUUUGAACGGAAGGAAUGAGACAUUGUUUCUUGUUUGACUGCUGAAGAUUCGGUUUAAGUGAUUAGGUAACAAAGGACAAGGCGACAUGUCACAUUCCCUUUGUGUUUUGCCUGUCACAAGGGGCUGUCUUUGUGAAAAUGUUUUUGAGUUGCUGAAGGCUGACAAAUAAUGAGAGUUAAAUGCGCAGACAUGCUGAAUCGCAUCAGAUUUGGAAAGCGAAGGAUGAAUUCUUUUGUGCUGUCAUGAACCUGGCAUACAAUGUAGAUUUCUGUGUGGUACAAUCUACAGCUACAUUGUCUGCUGGGUUUCAGGCCAGUAGAAAAAUUCUGCUCUGCUCAGAAAUUGAAUAGGUGAGUCUUUUAGUCAUUAUGCAUGUUUGAAAAAGACAUAUUCCUACUAUGAGAGUAAAAUAAAAGUACUAAAAGUAUACAAA